rnacentral:rRNA from 1 species
CCUACGGGCGGCAGCAGUGGGGAAUAUUGGUCAAUGGGCGCAAGCCUUACCCAGCAAUACCGCGUGAGUGAAGAAGGUCUUCGGAUUGUAAAGCUCUUUGAUCAGGGACGAACAGAUAACGAUACCUGAAGAACAAGCCCCGGCUAACUACGUGCCAGCAGCCGCGGUCAAACGUAGGGGGCGAGCGUUGUCCGGAAUGACUGGGAGUAAAGGGUGAGUAGGAGGGAUAAUAAGUUAGGAGUGAAAUACCCAGAGCUUAACUAGGGUGCUGUUUCUAAGACUGUUGUGCUUGAGUGCGGGAGAGGUUGAUGGAAUGCGUGGUGUAGCGGUGGAAUGCGUAGAUAUUAGGAGGAACACCAGAGGCGAAGGCGAUUAACUGGACCGUAACUGACGCUGAGGCACGAAAGUGUGGGUAGCAAACAGGAUUAGAUACCCGUGUAGUC